GAAAUAUACAUUUUAAGCUGCUAACUUAAAUCAUAGUGAAUUUAAAUCAUUAAUAUUUCU
rnacentral:tRNA from 1 species